rnacentral:rRNA from 1 species
CAGAGGCGAUGAAGGACGUGCUAAUCUGCGAUAAGCGUCGGUAAGGUGAUAUGAACCGUUAUAACCGGCGAUUUCCGAAUGGGGAAACCCAGUGUGUUUCGACACACUAUCAUUAACUGAAUCCAUAGGUUAAUGAGGCGAACCGGGGGAACUGAAACAUCUAAGUACCCCGAGGAAAAGAAAUCAACCGAGAUUCCCCCAGUAGCGGCGAGCGAACGGGGAGCAGCCCAGAGCCUGAAUCAGUAUGUGUGUUAGUGGAAGCGUCUGGAAAGGCGCGCGAUACAGGGUGACAGCCCCGUACACAAAAAUGCACAUGCUGUGAGCUCGAUGAGUAGGGCGGGACACGUGGUAUCCUGUCUGAAUAUGGGGGGACCAUCCUCCAAGGCUAAAUACUCCUGACUGACCGAUAGUGAACCAGUACCGUGAGGGAAAGGCGAAAAGAACCCCGGCGAGGGGAGUGAAAAAGAACCUGAAACCGUGUACGUACAAGCAGUGGGAGCACGCUUAGGCGUGUGACUGCGUACCUUUUGUAUAAUGGGUCAGCGACUUAUAUUCUGUAGCAAGGUUAACCGAAUAGGGGAGCCGAAGGGAAACCGAGUCUUAACUGGGCGUUAAGUUGCAGGGUAUAGACCCGAAACCCGGUGAUCUAGCCAUGGGCAGGUUGAAGGUUGGGUAACACUAACUGGAGGACCGAACCGACUAAUGUUGAAAAAUUAGCGGAUGACUUGUGGCUGGGGGUGAAAGGCCAAUCAAACCGGGAGAUAGCUGGUUCUCCCCGAAAGCUAUUUAGGUAGCGCCUCGUGAAUUCAUCUCCGGGGGUAGAGCACUGUUUCGGCAAGGGGGUCAUCCCGACUUACCAACCCGAUGCAAACUGCGAAUACCGGAGAAUGUUAUCACGGGAGACACACGGCGGGUGCUAACGUCCGUCGUGAAGAGGGAAACAACCCAGACCGCCAGCUAAGGUCCCAAAGUCAUGGUUAAGUGGGAAACGAUGUGGGAAGGCCCAGACAGCCAGGAUGUUGGCUUAGAAGCAGCCAUCAUUUAAAGAAAGCGUAAUAGCUCACUGGUCGAGUCGGCCUGCGCGGAAGAUGUAACGGGGCUAAACCAUGCACCGAAGCUGCGGCAGCGACGCUUAUGCGUUGUUGGGUAGGGGAGCGUUCUGUAAGCCUGCGAAGGUGUGCUGUGAGGCAUGCUGGAGGUAUCAGAAGUGCGAAUGCUGACAUAAGUAACGAUAAAGCGGGUGAAAAGCCCGCUCGCCGGAAGACCAAGGGUUCCUGUCCAACGUUAAUCGGGGCAGGGUGAGUCGACCCCUAAGACGAGGCCGAAAGGCGUAGUCGAUGGGAAACAGGUUAAUAUUCCUGUACUUGGUGUUACUGCGAAGGGGGGACGGAGAAGGCUAUGUUGGCCGGGCGACGGUUGUCCCGGUUUAAGCGUGUAGGCUGGUUUUCCAGGCAAAUCCGGAAAAUCAAGGCUGAGGCGUGAUGACGAGGCACUACGGUGCUGAAGCAACAAAUGCCCUGCUUCCAGGAAAAGCCUCUAAGCAUCAGGUAACAUCAAAUCGUACCCCAAACCGACACAGGUGGUCAGGUAGAGAAUACCAAGGCGCUUGAGAGAACUCGGGUGAAGGAACUAGGCAAAAUGGUGCCGUAACUUCGGGAGAAGGCACGCUGAUAUGUAGGUGAAGUCCCUCGCGGAUGGAGCUGAAAUCAGUCGAAGAUACCAGCUGGCUGCAACUGUUUAUUAAAAACACAGCACUGUGCAAACACGAAAGUGGACGUAUACGGUGUGACGCCUGCCCGGUGCCGGAAGGUUAAUUGAUGGGGUCAGCGCAAGCGAAGCUCUUGAUCGAAGCCCCGGUAAACGGCGGCCGUAACUAUAACGGUCCUAAGGUAGCGAAAUUCCUUGUCGGGUAAGUUCCGACCUGCACGAAUGGCGUAAUGAUGGCCAGGCUGUCUCCACCCGAGACUCAGUGAAAUUGAACUCGCUGUGAAGAUGCAGUGUACCCGCGGCAAGACGGAAAGACCCCGUGAACCUUUACUAUAGCUUGACACUGAACAUUGAGCCUUGAUGUGUAGGAUAGGUGGGAGGCUUUGAAGUGUGGACGCCAGUCUGCAUGGAGCCGACCUUGAAAUACCACCCUUUAAUGUUUGAUGUUCUAACGUUGACCCGUAAUCCGGGUUGCGGACAGUGUCUGGUGGGUAGUUUGACUGGGGCGGUCUCCUCCUAAAGAGUAACGGAGGAGCACGAAGGUUGGCUAAUCCUGGUCGGACAUCAGGAGGUUAGUGCAAUGGCAUAAGCCAGCUUGACUGCGAGCGUGACGGCGCGAGCAGGUGCGAAAGCAGGUCAUAGUGAUCCGGUGGUUCUGAAUGGAAGGGCCAUCGCUCAACGGAUAAAAGGUACUCCGGGGAUAACAGGCUGAUACCGCCCAAGAGUUCAUAUCGACGGCGGUGUUUGGCACCUCGAUGUCGGCUCAUCACAUCCUGGGGCUGAAGUAGGUCCCAAGGGUAUGGCUGUUCGCCAUUUAAAGUGGUACGCGAGCUGGGUUUAGAACGUCGUGAGACAGUUCGGUCCCUAUCUGCCGUGGGCGCUGGAGAACUGAGGGGGGCUGCUCCUAGUACGAGAGGACCGGAGUGGACGCAUCACUGGUGUUCGGGUUGUCAUGCCAAUGGCACUGCCCGGUAGCUAAAUGCGGAAGAGAUAAGUGCUGAAAGCAUCUAAGCACGAAACUUGCCCCGAGAUGAGUUCUCCCUGACUCCUUGAGAGUCCUGAAGGAACGUUGAAGACGACGACGUUGAUAGGCCGGGUGUGUAAGCGCAGCGAUGCGUUGAGCUAACCGGUACUAAUGAACCGUGAGGCUUAACCU